UGUUGCUGUGUGUCGUCCAGUCAUUGGGAUCUGUAUUGGGAUAUUCGUGGAUUACCUUACUUACUGUGACUGUUGUUCUAUGGGAUUUUAUUACUUGUUCCUGAGCCUCACUGGGACCUUUAGUGGAGUUAACCUGUGAAAGACCAGCUCUCCGCUACACAUGGUGACCAUGGGUAAUGGGGAAUCAGGGUUCCAUUCCAUACAGGGACCCUGAGAAACAGCUACCACAUGCAAGGAAGGCAGCAGGCGCGCAAAUGACCCCCUCCCGACAUGGGAAGGUAAUGACGACA
rnacentral:rRNA from 1 species